UACGUAGGGUGCAAGCGUUGCUCGGAAUCAUUGGGCGUAAAGAGCGUGUAGGUGGCUAGAUAAGUCAGAUGUGAAAUCCCUCGGCUCAACCGAGGAAGUGCAUUUGAAACUAUCUAGCUCGAGGAUGGCAGAGGAAGGUGGAAUUCCUAGUGUAGAGGUGAAAUUCGUAGAUAUUAGGAGGAAUACCGGUGGCGAAGGCGGCCUUCUGGACCAUUCCUGACACUGAGACGCGAAAGCGUGGGUAGCAAACAGG
rnacentral:rRNA from 1 species